GACGAACGCUGGCGGCGUGCUUAACACAUGCAAGUCGAACGGUGAAGCGCCUUCCUUUUUGGUGGGUGUGGAUGAGCGGCGAACGGGUGAGUAACACGUGAGUAACCUGCCCCCUUCUUCUGGAUAACCGCGUGAAAGUGUGGCUAAUACGGGAUAUUCUGGGUCUGUCGCAUGAUGGGUCUGGGAAAGAUAUUGUUUCGGUGGGGGAUGGGCUCGCGGCCUAUCAGCUUGUUGGUGGGGUGAUGGCCUACCAAGGCGGUGACGGGUAGCCGGCCUGAGAGGGUGGACGGUCACACUGGGACUGAGACACGGCCCAGACUCCUACGGGAGGCAGCAGUGGGGAAUAUUGCACAAUGGGCGCAAGCCUGAUGCAGCGACGCCGCGUGAGGGAUGGAGGCCUUCGGGUUGUGAACCUCUUUCGCCAGUGAAGCAGGCCUGCCUCGUUUGUGGGUGGGUUGACGGUAGCUGGAUAAGAAGCGCCGGCUAACUACGUG
rnacentral:rRNA from 1 species